rnacentral:rRNA from 1 species
GUAGGUGGCAAGCGUUGUCCGGAAUUAUUGGGCGUAAAGCGCGCGCAGGGCGGUUCUUUAAGUCUGAUGUGAAAGCCCACGGCUCAACCGUGGAGGGUCAUUGGAAACUGGAGAACUUGAGUACAGAAGAGGAAAGCGGAAUUCCACGUGUAGCGGUGAAAUGCGUAGAGAUGUGGAGGAACACCAGGGGCGAAGGCGGCUUUCUGGUCUGUAACUGACGCUGAGGCGCGAAAGCGUGGGGAGCAAACAGGAUUAGAUACCCUGGUAGUCCACGCCGUAAACGAUGAGUGCUAAGUGUUAGGGGGUUUCCGCCCCUUAGUGCUGCAGUUAACGCAUUAAGCACUCCGCCUGGGGAGUACGGCCGCAAGGCUG